AUCAGACUUCUAUAUAUAAACUCUCCGGACCGUCCAUUCAAACCUGAAAGCCACCGUUCUAUGCUAUGGCUUUUGAAAAGAAUAACCCAAAAAUUGAAAUUUACAGUCGAUAAACAACGCCGUAUAAUAUAUCGGUUAUAUAAACGAAAACGGAACAGUUUCACUGUGCAAUUUAGACUACUGAACAUUUCGACUACGUGGCGGAGGAAGACCAUAGUAACAGCUUUGUUGUCAAGGAGUGCGACGUCCCACUUUGGACCAAAGUACCAAGGCGCAGUGAUAUUGAAAUUUGGGCGCACAGCAGCAGAAGAUAGUGCUUGACAAUCGCACGGGUGGAAAGCAAACGCUUGGGUUUCCGUUUAUUUCCUGUACGUACAGACUAACGUAGUUCACACUAAAAUACAAUGGCUGAUCAGCUAACAGAGGAGCAGAUUGCUGAAUUCAAGGAGGCCUUCUCCUUAUUUGACAAAGACGGUUUCCCAGCUUGCCUCUUU